rnacentral:rRNA from 1 species
UGGGGAAUUUUGGACAAUGGGCGCAAGCCUGAUCCAGCCAUGCCGCGUGAGUGAAGAAGGCCUUCGGGUUGUAAAGCUCUUUCGGACGGGAAGAAAUGGCGGGCUCUAACAUAGCCUGUCGAUGACGGUACCGUAAGAAGAAGCACCGGCUAACUACGUGCCAGCAGCCGCGGUAAUACGAAGGGGGCUAGCGUUGCUCGGAAUCACUGGGCGUAACGGGCGCGUAGGCGGACAUUUAAGUCAGGGGUGAAAUCCCGGGGCUCAACCUCGGAAUUGCCUUUGAUACUGGGUGUCUCGAGACCGGAAGAGGUAAGUGGAACUGCGAGUGUAGAGGUGAAAUUCGUAGAUAUUCGCAAGAACACCAGUGGCGAAGGCGGCUUACUGCUCCGGUUCUGACGCUGAGGCGCGAAAGCGUGGGGAGCAAACA